rnacentral:lncRNA from 1 species
CAAAGCUAAGAGAUACAAAGGGAAAAGUGUGUCUGCUCUGACAGCAAAAACAAGCAAAUAUCUCCAGAGGGGAUUAAUCCCUAUGCUUCAAAGUAACGAAAACAAAGAAAGCUGAGCUUGCUUCACAGGAAAUAACACCUGUCCAUCAGACAAGGAUGAGCUAAU